ensembl:lncRNA
GGAGAAUCAUCAAUUUUGGCAACAAAGAAGCCUGGUGGAUGUUUGUUUACAGUCUGAUGAUGGGACAUCAUGCUCUGCAUCUUCAAAGUUUGCCUCCUCAUUAUUAUUCAUACCCAGUAAUGUGAAUCUUUUCGCAGGAUCAGAAAACAAAACCAGGAGGUGCGUAAAUGUUUCUUCUCCAUGAUGUUUCUCCAAAUGUUUCUUCUGGAUGAUGAUAAGACUGUGACACGGGAUGCCACCUUUGGUCUUGUGAUGAAGCAAAGCUCAGGAAGAAGUGGGAUUAAAUGGUACCCACAUGUGUGCUGCUGAGAAGGAUGUACAGGGGCACCUGCAGCCAAAUCCAAGCCUCAGAGCAGAGCAGCAGUUUGUGCUCACAGAUGGUGACGGUGUGGAGAGACGGUGGUUUUCCUCAGAAGAACCAGCAGAGUCACAAAGGGCACCAGUCCAUCUCACCACCUUAACUUUCUGACUGAUGCUCGUCUGCACUGCACAGAGGAAAUCAGCUGAUCGAGGAGUGUUUCUGAGUGAGGGGGGAGGAGUCAUCAUCCAGGUAAAGUGACGUGGAUCAGUGGAUACACGUGUCUCCCCUUUAAAGGAGACGAUCCAAGUCAUCCUUAAAUAUGGGCAGCAUAUCAGUCUUGGACUGUCUAACCUGCAGCACUGAAUGACCACCACACAUGAGCAUGUUCCUGCAACAUUCAGCAUCUGAUCCUUCAUCUGUGUGCUGCUGCUUUUGUGUCACAUGUCAAACAGCUGGAGAGGAAACUACACCAGUGUACUGGGAUGUUUCACCAACACGUGCCAGAUGCUGUUCCUUCAUGGUGACAUCACCAGAGACAGCCCCGCCCACCUCAGGACCUCGCCAUUGAUCAUGAUGAUUAUAAUGAUGACAGCGAGCGGAACUAAGACUGUAAAAAUCCACGACCAGAAUGUUUCUUUCUAAUUAUGAAUGAAUACUGAGAGCCUCUUUCUGUGUUUUGUCUGUUUUGUUUUUUUACCUCAUUUGUUUCUAACAAAGUUCACAAACUCACACAGUUUACAUUCUGUAUGUUUCCAUCUUUACCAGCCACACUAACUGCAUUUAAGAAAAUAAUCCUUAGAAAUCGUCGUUUUUCUCUUUUGUAAUUGAUGAUAAUUCAGUGAAUAUACUGCGCUGCUUCCUUUUAUUGCGUCUCACAUUGCUUUAAGUUUUUCAGUGUCGUUAUUUUUUACUGCUGUUUGAAUUCUCUGUAUGUUUGACCCUGUAGACUGUUUGAUGGACUGCUUGCCUUCCUGUUUGUAACCGCCGCCUGUUUUUUAAUAAAGAUUUGGAUUUCUGACUUCAACACA